AGCAGCCGCGGUAAUUCCAGCUCCAAUAGCGUAUAUUAAAGUUGUUGCAGUUAAAAAGCUCGUAGUUGAAUUUCGGGGUCAGCAGGUCGGUCGUGCCAAUGGUAUGCACUGGCCUUGCUGAUUCCUCCCUCUUGAUGAGCCGUAAUGUCAUUAAUUUGGUGUUGCGGGGAAUCAGGACUGUUACUUUGAAAAAAUUAGAGUGUUUAAAGCAGGCAAGCGCUUGAAUACAUUAGCAUGGAAUAAUGAAAUAGGACGUUUGAUCCUAUUUUGUUGGUUUCUAGGAUUGACGUAAUGAUUAAUAGGGAUAGUUGGGGGCAUUAGUAUUCAAUUGUCAGAGGUGAAAUUCUUGGAUUUAUUGAAGACUAACUACUGCGAAAGCAUUUGCCAAGGAUGUUUUCAUUAAUCAAGAACGAAAGUUAGGGGAUCGAAGACGAUCAGAUACCGUCGUAGUCUUAACCAUAAACUAUGCCGACUAGGGAUCGGAUGAUGUUAAUUUUUUAAUGACUCU
rnacentral:rRNA from 1 species